rnacentral:rRNA from 1 species
UACGGAGGGGGCUAGCGUUGUUCGGAAUUACUGGGCGUAAAGCGCACGUAGGCGGCUUGUAAGUUAGAGGUGAAAGCCUGGAGCUCAACUCCAGAAUUGCCUUUAAGACUGCCGAGCUAGCAGGUGAGAGAGGUGAGUGGAAUUCCGAGUGUAGAGGUGAAAUUCGUAGAUAUUCGGAAGAACACCAGUGGCGAGGGCGGCUCACUGGCUCAUACUGGACGCUGAGGUGCGAAAGCGUGGGGAGCAAACAGG